UAAAAUGAGAGUUUGAUCCUGGCUCAGGACGAACGCUGGCGGCGUGCCUAAUACAUGCAAGUCGAACGAAACUUUCUUACACCGAAUGCUUGCAUUCACCGUAAGAAGUUGAGCGGCGGACGGGUGAGUAACACGUGGGUAACCUGCCUAAAAGAAGGGGAUAACACUUGGAAACAGGUGCUAAUACCGUAUAUCUCUAAGGAUCGCAUGAUCCUUAGAUGAAAGAUGGUUCUGCUAUCGCUUUUAGAUGGACCCGCGGCGUAUUAACUAGUUGGUGGGGUAACGGCCUACCAAGGUGAUGAUACGUAGCCGAACUGAGAGGUUGAUCGGCCACAUUGGGACUGAGACACGGCCCAAACUCCUACGGGAGGCAGCAGUAGGGAAUCUUCCACAAUGGACGCAAGUCUGAUGGAGCAACGCCGCGUGAGUGAAGAAGGUCUUCGGAUCGUAAAACUCUGUUGUUAGAGAAGAACACGAGUGAGAGUAACUGUUCAUUCGAUGACGGUAUCUAACCAGCAAGUCACGGCUAACUACGUGCCAGCAGCCGCGGUAAUACGUAGGUGGCAAGCGUUGUCCGGAUUUAUUGGGCGUAAAGGGAACGCAGGCGGUCUUUUAAGUCUGAUGUGAAAGCCUUCGGCUUAACCGGAGUAGUGCAUUGGAAACUGGAAGACUUGAGUGCAGAAGAGGAGAGUGGAACUCCAUGUGUAGCGGUGAAAUGCGUAGAUAUAUGGAAGAACACCAGUGGCGAAAGCGGCUCUCUGGUCUGUAACUGACGCUGAGGUUCGAAAGCGUGGGUAGCAAACAGGAUUAGAUACCCUGGUAGUCCACGCCGUAAACGAUGAAUGCUAGGUGUUGGAGGGUUUCCGCCCUUCAGUGCCGCAGCUAACGCAAUAAGCAUUCCGCCUGGGGAGUACGACCGCAAGGUUGAAACUCAAAGGAAUUGACGGGGGCCCGCACAAGCGGUGGAGCAUGUGGUUUAAUUCGAAGCAACGCGAAGAACCUUACCAGGUCUUGACAUCCUUUGACCACCUAAGAGAUUAGGCUUUCCCUUCGGGGACAAAGUGACAGGUGGUGCAUGGCUGUCGUCAGCUCGUGUCGUGAGAUGUUGGGUUAAGUCCCGCAACGAGCGCAACCCUUGUUGUCAGUUGCCAGCAUUAAGUUGGGCACUCUGGCGAGACUGCCGGUGACAAACCGGAGGAAGGUGGGGACGACGUCAAGUCAUCAUGCCCCUUAUGACCUGGGCUACACACGUGCUACAAUGGACGGUACAACGAGUCGCGAGACCGCGAGGUUUAGCUAAUCUCUUAAAGCCGUUCUCAGUUCGGAUUGUAGGCUGCAACUCGCCUACAUGAAGUCGGAAUCGCUAGUAAUCGCGAAUCAGCAUGUCGCGGUGAAUACGUUCCCGGGCCUUGUACACACCGCCCGUCACACCAUGAGAGUUUGUAACACCCAAAGCCGGUGGGGUAACCGCAAGGAGCCAGCCGUCUAAGGUGGGACAGAUGAUUGGGGUGAAGUCGUAACAAGGUAGCCGUAGGAGAACCUGCGGCUGGAUCACCUCCUUU
rnacentral:rRNA from 1 species